AUGCUAUUCUUUUUCAUAAGAGAUGAGCUUAUAAAGCUAGAUUAGCAGAUAUAAUCUAUGCUAAAUUGCUCAACUAGAGCAAACAAAAGAAGGUAUUUAUUGACAGCUGUGGUGAUGUUGCUGCUGUAGAUUCACCUGAAAAGAGGAGGCUCCUGUGAAUAGGGAAUGCAAUCCUAACUGUACUAACCAUGGAGUGGCACAAAAGCUUAGACGAAUGUUCCUUUCUGUUGCAUCUUUGAAGAUUAAUCACCACCACAAAUGAGAACUAAUGCAGUGUCAGAAAGGUGCUAAUCUGUCUGGCUGUUGGAGUAACCGUGCCAGACUCAAAGCUACAGUUACUGUUAAGUUCUGCUGAUGUGAUGCCUGGACCCAGAGCUGCAGGCAUCCUUUCACUGGGCUAUAAUGCUGCUGAAUGAGGAUUUACUGUUCUGAAAAGCCACACAAUGUGGCACUGGAGGGGCACCCUCUAAAUAAACUGUUCACUCCUGAACUUCAGGUUUUUUGUGCUGGCUUAACAAUUGUAUACCAAAUAGAUGCUAUAACUCCAACAGAACAAGUAAUCAUCUGAAAUGGUAACCAAGGGCACUACUUUCCUUAAUAUCAUUAAUUUGAAGUGCUGUUUGCAGAGGUGAGGGGAAAAAAAAAGCAUAUAUUUCUCUUUUGACUAAAUGUUAAGUAAAGGACUGAAAGUUCUAUCAAAGCAAAUACUUCAAUUUUAUUAACCAUAAUAAAAGAGAGUGGAAAAAAGUUAUAUAAAACUUGCUAGAACAUAGUUAUUGAACACUGCAGUUUCUAAUCUGGGCGAUAAAUGUAGGUCAAGGGAACUGGAAAAUCUAAUUACUCUGUAAAUUUUUAAACCUGUUUCUUUCAAGGAAAAGAAGAUUGUUCCCUUGCAUUUAUGCGUAUUUCACUCCACAUGUAACUACAGCUAGCUGGGGAGUUACUUCUGUCUGAACACAAAAAGGUUUUUGAACUUUCUUUAACAGUGUCUUUAUGUCUUGCAUGGUUUUCUCAGCUUUGGCUCGUGCUUGUUCUCAAGGUAACAUUGGUUAUUCCACAGCCAGCAUUACUGUUCUGUAAAUACCAGAGGCACCCUUCACGUUUAAAAGAAAAAAUAAAUAAGAAGCCAUCUCUAAAUAAAACUGACCUUUGGUACACCACUGUAGCAGUUCCUCUAGGUAACAUCCCAUACAACUGUAAUGUGAUACCUAGUGUUCAUACAGCGCGUUAACUAAGUAUGAGGCAAUGCAUCAUUACAGAGCUCCCGCUAAUAUGAAUGUGACAGCAUUGUAAAUGUUAAUUAUUUACUGAUGGUUUAACUGUUUCACAGAUCGUUGUUGCUGACUCCUGUGUCUAAACAGACUAUUACUUAUAGGAGGACCAAAUACUUUAAAAAACAUACAAAAAAUGUGAGGACUCGCACCAUUUGAAGAUUCCAAAAUCAAGGUCUAUUGAUUUUUUUUUUUUGGAAUCAUACAAACCUAGAAAGGUACCAUUUCAGGCAUUUAUUUCCCAGCCCAAUUAACCCUUUUAAAAGAAUAAAGGGGGGGAAAAAAGGAACUCCUUAAGCAAUCCUCCAAGAUCCAAUCACCAGAAUGCCCUGAGACUUCAAGUCUCAAGUCAUGUAUUCUCUUUGCUUCUACUCACAAAGGAUUGUGGGGUUUUUGUAUUGUUUUUCUAUUUGUUUGCUUGGUUUUACCCAUUAUGUAAAACAAAAGCCUAAUUACACAUAGGCAGAAGUUGGUGCUUCUAGAAAAACAGAGAGCCCCCCAAAAUCAUGGAACACUGUCACUGGAACAUGGAGCUGUCACUGUAUUUGAAGAUACGCAGAUGAGAAGAGGUAACUGCAGCCAGCUGACAUCUUGUAUUGACCAGCCCUUCGUGCAGAGUUCUCUUUGAUUCCUGCCUCUGUGAUACAUGAUGAAGAACCAUGGCGUUUCACAACAGAAGGAGGACUUGUAUGUUGUGCUCUGAUUUGGCAAUCAACACUUUGUUUGUUUUUGGGGGGUGGGGGAGUGAGCUGUACAAAAGCAGAAAACCUGGCCUCAGCUCAUCUGAUCUUUGGACGCUGCUCUCGUUAUGCAUAAAUCCUGCUUUUGACCUUCCUCCAACUGUGCUGGCAGGUAAAGACUCUCAGAUUUAAAAAAAAAAAAAACCAAAAAAAAAAACUCGAGAAGAGUCACAGCAGGGACUGAAACUAUAUUUGAUGUAAAAGGUAAGCUCCGAACAGCAGCUCAGAGAACACCCCCAAAUUGAGAUGAGUUUUGUGAAAGUGGUCUACAAUAAAAAGCAGACAAAUAUAUUUUUUUAAUGAUGUUAUUUUUAAUCUCUGCCAUUUAUGUGGAUGUAGGUGGCAAGGUUAAAUCUAAAAAACAGUGGUACAAAGACUAACUGCAGUAUUAAUUUAAUUGCGCUGUACCGCGCCUUGUUUUCUACAUUACAGGCAAGUUCACAAAUACAAGCAUUACAUACGUGCUUUCUGUCUCUUCCUUAGCAUUCUUGGAGGUUUUCUUUCAACCCUUUAACCUUUGAACUACUAAUUUGCGAUACUAAUGGGGUACUGGUCCUUCCCUUGCAAAAAUACAUAAAUAAUUCUGAUUAGAGAACCAUUAAAUCAUUACUAAGACUGUACACGGCCUGAGGUGUGACUGAUGACACAUAACAAUGAGACCUGGAUCUGCUCUGAAUGAGAAGGGAAAGAAAACCUCUAACCUUCCAGGCUAAUUGCUAGGUGCUUUUUAGAAUAAAACGUAUUCAUACAAGUAAAAUAAUGUGUAAAAAGCAAAUUAAAUUUGUUGUUUCUUAACCUUUGGGCAUUUGACUUUACAGCUUAUAACUUAUAAAAUAAUUCAAUAUAAUUUUGUUUUCCCACCUUUAUAUUCCAUAUUAUUUUCAAUUGUGAUGUUGCAUAGAACCAUCACGUUCAGUUUAAGCUCUGAAGAACAGUAGGUCCAAGUGUUGAUGAGAACCAGAAGGGACAGCAGUGAGGUACAGUCGUGCCUCAAAAUAGACACGGGUCCCACCUGUGGCAGGUCAGCAAGAGCGUAAAGUAACAAUAACCUUAAGAUGAAAAAGCAUUUGGAUUCUGGGGCAACAAAGCAGGUAGGAUGGAGACAUUGGUCCGAUCUGUAAGCACCAAGGUUUUUCUGCAUAUUCUGAACGUCGAGUAAGAUUCAGGUUAAGGAAAAUGCUUAUGGAGCAGCUCGGUUGGGUGACUGCCACAAGCAGAGGCACUCGUUGCCUUCUGCCUGCCGGUGCAGCUGGGAGCUCUGCUCAGCGCUACCAGGGCGCUGCAGGAAGGCGCCUGUCCCCGCUCUGCUUCUGGGCUGGGUUUUUGCAGGAUCCCACGGUCACACCGAAAGCAGCAGGGCCUGAGGGGAGGUGCGGGUGGGGUAUCAGGAAAAAUUUCUCAGAGUUUAGCUGCGCUGACACGGGCUGCGUAGGGAGGGGGUGGAGUCAGCUGUCCCUGGAGGCGUCCGAUCAACUCGUGGAUGCGGCGCUGAGGGCCGCGGUCAGCGGGCGCGGUGGGGAUGGGCUGACAAAAAGAUUAGCGGCCGUUUCCAGUCCUAAUGAUUCUAAGACUAGAUCGUAAAGAAGGCGUGCGGGCAGCAGACCAAAAGGCUGGGCCUUCUGUCUACUUCAGCUCCUGAAGCGCUAUCUUCACACACACAGUCUCACGCUGGCUGCCUGCCGUGCCGGCCCGCAGGUGCACCCCGCAGGGACAACACAGCACAACCUCAACGCGAGGGCGCGGAGCCGCUUCCUCCCGGCAGCCCCACAUCCCAGCGGGGCUCCAACCGGACAACCCAACCCCUUCGCCCGCCGCUUCGCCGUCAGCCCGCGGCGCUCAGGGCUCGCCCUGCCCCGCCCCCUCCGGGGCCGCCGCCGCUCCCCUCAGUCCCCGCGGGUGACUAAGCACGCCGCCGUGACCGACCCUUUACCUUCCCUCCCGCCCCUGUGCCCCGCCCGCCGCCACGGACCGCCCCUCCUCCUUCCCUCCCGUCGCUGCGCCUGCGCGGUGCGGCGCGGCGCGCGCGGGCGCAGGAAUGUGCGUUCCAGUUA